UACGGGGGGGGCAAGCGUUGUUCGGAAUUACUGGGCGUAAAGGGCUCGUAGGCGGCCAACUAAGUCGAACGUGAAAUCCCUCAGCUUAACUGGGGAACUGCGUCCGAUACUGAUUGGCUUGAAUCCGGAAGAGGGAUGCGGAAUUCCAGGUGUAGCGGUGAAAUGCGUAGAUAUCUGGAGGAACACCGGUGGCGAAGGCGGCGUCCUGGGUCGGUAUUGACGCUGAGGAGCGAAAGCCAGGGGAGCAAACGGG
rnacentral:rRNA from 1 species